UGCUUCCAGUUUCUCGGAUUCUUGUGUC
rnacentral:piRNA from 1 species